rnacentral:rRNA from 1 species
GUGACUGCGUACCUUUUGUAUAAUGGGUCAGCGACUUAUAUUCUGUAGCAAGGUUAACCGUAUAGGGGAGCCGGAGGGAAACCGAGUCUUAAUUGGGCGUUAAGUUGCAGGGUAUAGACCCGAAACCCGGUGAUCUAGCCAUGGGCAGGUUGAAGGUUGGGUAACACUAACUGGAGGACCGAACCGACUAAUGUUGAAAAAUUAGCGGAUGACCUGUGGCUGGGGGUGAAAGGCCAAUCAAACCGGGAGAUAGCUGGUUCUCCCCGAAAGCUAUUUAGGUAGCGCCUCGUGAAUUCAUCUCCGGGGGUAGAGCACUGUUUCGGCUAGGGGGCCAUCCCGGCUUACCAACCCGAUGCAAACUGCGAAUACCGGAGAAUGUUAUCACGGGAGACACACGGCGGGUGCUAACGUCCGUCGUGAAGAGGGAAACAACCCAGACCGCCAGCUAAGGUCCCAAAGUCAUGGUUAAGUGGGAAACGAUGUGGGAAGGCCCAGACAGCCAGGAUGUUGGCUUAGAAGCAGCCAUCAUUUAAAGAAAGCGUAAUAGCUCACUGGUCGAGUCGGCCUGCGCGGAAGAUGUAACGGGGCUAAACCAUGCACCGAAGCUGCGGCAGCGACACU